rnacentral:misc_RNA from 1 species
AAAUGCGAUAAGUAAUGUGAAUUGCAGAAUUCCGUGAAUCAUCGAAUCUUUGAACGCACGUUGCGCCCUCUGGCAUUCCGGGGGGCAUGCCUGUCCGAGCGUCAUUACGCACCCUCAAGCCCGGCUUGUGUGAUGGGCCCCGGCGUCUCGUUCGCGAGACGGGCCCGAAAGGCAGCGGCGGCGUCGACCCGAUGAGCCCGAGCGUAUGGGGACUUCUGUCACACGUUCGCGGUGCGGACCGGCGCCUGCUUGACUUUUCUGAUUAUCCAGGUUGACCUCGGAUCAGGUAGGGAUACCCGCUGAACUUAAGC